CCUCGCUUCCACCCGGUUCAGGAGCACGUCAAGACAUCAUCCAUCACCCGCGAUGUCGUCGGUCCUCUUUGGAAACAAAUGAAGGACUAAUGAUGAUGGCCACUGACCUGCAGAGAGCUGUGCAUCUGGGAGGCCCUGCCCCAGGGGUCCGGCACCUUGAGAGUCAACAGGAGUGAGGCCAGCCUGAAUAAUCCAACCCUCCAAACAGAAACUAGGCUCUCUCUGUGAGAAGGGAAGGGAGAUUUAUUGCUGGUCUAAUAAGCACUGUGUACGCACAUUUGCUGGAGAAACU
rnacentral:lncRNA from 1 species